GGGCAAUUGGUUUAGUGGUAUAAUACCCCCUUAGCAUUCAGCCUAUCCGGGCUCUGCAUGGGGGUGGUCCAGGGUUCGAUUCCCUGAUUGUCCA